rnacentral:rRNA from 1 species
GACGAACGCUGGCGGCGUGCCUAACACAUGCAAGUCGAGCGGAGACAUUGGCUUCGGUUAAUGUUUUAGCGGCGGACGGGUGAGUAACGCGUGAGCAACCUUUCUCUUACUGGGGAAUAACACAGGGAAACUUGUACUAAUACCGCAUGAGACCACAGAAGGGCAUCCUUCAGGGGGUCAAAGAUUUAUCGGUAAGAGGUGGGCUCGCGUCUGAUUAGAUAGUUGGUGGGGUAACGGCCUACCAAGUCGACGAUCAGUAGCCGACCUGAGAGGGUGAUCGGCCACAUUGGGACUGAGACACGGCCCAAACUCCUACGGGAGGCAGCAGUGGGGAAUAUUGGGCAAUGGGGGAAACCCUGACCCAGCAACGCCGCGUGGAGGAAGAAGGUUUUCGGAUCGUAAACUCCUGUCCUCAGGGAAGAGCAGAAGACGGUACCUGAGGAGGAAGCCACGGCUAACUACGUG